rnacentral:rRNA from 1 species
GAUGAACGCUGGCGGCGUGCCUAAUACAUGCAAGUCGAGCGAACAGACGAGGAGCUUGCUCCUCUGACGUUAGCGGCGGACGGGUGAGUAACACGUGGAUAACCUACCUAUAAGACUGGGAUAACUUCGGGAAACCGGAGCUAAUACCGGAUAAUAUAUUGAACCGCAUGGUUCAAUAGUGAAAGACGGUUUUGCUGUCACUUAUAGCUGGAUCCGCGCCGCAUUAGCUAGUUGGUAAGGUAACGGCUUUCCAAGGCAACGAUGCGUAGCCGACCUGAGAGGGUGAUCGGCCACACUGGAACUGAGACACGGUCAAGACUCCUAAGGGAGGCAGCAGUAGGGAAUCUUCCGCAAUGGGCGAAAGCCUGACGGAGCAACGCCGCGUGAGUGAUGAAGGUCUUCGGAUCGUAAAACUCUGUUAUUAGGGAAGAACAAAUGUGUAAGUAACUAUGCACGUCCUGACGGUACCUAAUCAGAAAGCCACGGCUAACUACGUG